AAUAUUGUAAGUGGUUCAUUUAGUGGUAGUGCUAUUACUAAUUUAACCGACACUUAUACUUCAACACCGGCUGUGAUCCGGCGAUGCCCGAAUGGGGAAACCCGGCCGUCAGCGAUGGCGGUCACGCCGAAAGGCGAGCGAACCCUGGGAACUGAAACAUCUAAGUACCGGGUGGAAGAGAAAUCAAUCGAGAUGCCCUGAGUAGUGGCGAGCGAAACGGGUACAGGCCAAACCGUGGUCCUUCGGGGCUGCGGGGUUGUAGGACCCACGGACGCGCGUGGUGACGCUAGCUGAAGUCUCCUGGAACGGAGCGCCAAAGACGGUGACAGCCCGGUAGGCGAAAGCCAUGGACCAUGCGUAGUGGAGUUCCUGAGUAACGCCCGACCCGAGAAAUCGGGCGUGAAACUGGGGGGACCACCCUCCAAGCCUAAACACUCUCGUGUGACCGAUAGUAGACGAGUACCGUGAGGGAAAGGUGAAAAGCACCCCUGUGCGGGGAGUGAAACAGAUCCUGAAACGACGUGCUUACAAGCGGUAGGAGGGGGCUUCGGCCCCUGACUGCGUGCCUUUUGCAUUAUGAUCCGGCGAGUUACUCGUCGCAUGCGAGGCUAAGCGGCUCAGCCGCGGAGCCAGAGCGAAAGCGAGUCCUGUAACGAGGGCGUCCAGAGUAUGCGGCGGUAGACCCGAAGCCAGGGCGAUCUACCCAUGAGCAGGGUGAAGCUGGGGUAACACCCAGUGGAGGCCCGAACCGGUAUGGGUUGAAAACCGUUCGGAUGACUUGUGGGUAGGGGUGAAAGGCCAAUCAAGCCUGGAGAUAGCUGGUUCUCUCCGAAAUCUAUUGAGGUAGAGCCUCGAGCAUUGUGCCGUGGGGGUAGAGCGACUGGAAAGGCGCGGGCUGGCGAAGCCGGUACCAACCCUUACCAAACUCCGAAUACCAUCGGCAUGGACCUCGGGAGGCAGUCGCUGAGCGAUAAUGUCCAGCGGCGAGAGGGAAAGAACCCAGAGCCACAGCUAAGGCCCCGAAGUGGCGGCUCAGUAUAGCGAAGGAUGUGUUCCUGCAUUGACAACUGGGAGGUUGGCUUAGAAGCAGCCAUUCCUUUAAAGAGUGCGUAAUAGCUCACCAGUCCAGCGGGAACGCGCCGAGAAUGGUCGGGAUUAAGCCGCCCGCCGAAGCUUGGCCUUGCAGCAUUGCUGCAGGGGUAGGAGAGCGUUCCGGGAGCACUGAAGGGUCCGUGGAAACGUUGACCUGGAGCGACCGGAAGUGAGGAUGCCGGAUUAAGUACGCGCAAAUACGGGUGAAAACCCCGUACACCGUAAGCCUAAGGAUUCCUGCGCCAUGGCAAUCAGCGCAGGGUGAGGCGGACCCUAAGGUGAGGCCCCAGAGGCGUAACCGAUGGACAGCCGGUCAAAAUUCCGGCCCCGCUGACAGUGCGUUAACACCGACGAAGGGACCGUGGAACGAAAGGGGAGCGGCCUUGUGGAUGGCCGUCUAAGGGUGUAGGCGCAAGCCGAGACCUGAAUGCGAGUGCGCGGGGCAACCCAAGCGCGAGUUCUCUGGAGUCGACACGCAAGAAAAGCUUCGAUCGGAAGUGCUGGCAGCGUCCGUACCGCAAACCGACACAGGUAGGCGAGGCGAGCAGCCUAAGGUGUUCGAGUGAAACGUGGUCAAGGAACUCGGCAUAAUGAUCCCGUAACUUCGGAAGAAGGGAUGCCGGAGAGGGUAACAAACACGCCCGCUCCGGUCGCAGAGAAUCGACUCAAGCGACUGUUUAGCAAAAACACAGGUGCAUGCCAAGCCGCACAAGGCGCCGUAUAUGCACUGACGCCUGCCCGGUGCCGGAAGGUUAAGGGGAGAGGUUAGCCGCAAGGCGAAGCUUCGAGCCGAAGCCCCGGUAAACGGCGGCCGUAACUAUAACGGUCCUAAGGUAGCGAAAUUCCUUGUCGGGUAAGUUCCGACCUGCACGAAUGGCGUAACGACUUGAGUACUGUCUCGACCACGUGCUCGGCGAAAUAGCAGUAUCGGUGAGGAUUCCGAUUACCCGCGACAGGACAAAAAGACCCCAUGCACCUUUACUGCAGUUUGUCAUUGGACGUCGCACGAAACUGUGUAGCAUAGGUGGGAGCCGUCGAGGCCCGGGCGCCAGCUCGGGCGGAGGCAUCAGUGAAAUACCACCCUGGUUCGUGUAACGUCCUCACCACGCAGAGCAAACCUCUGCUGGGACCGUGGCAGACGGGCAGUUUGACUGGGGCGGUCGCCUCCGAAAGCGUAACGGAGGCGCGCGAAGGUAGGCUCAGCGCGGUCGGUACUCGCGCUUGUAGAGUGCAUUGGCAGAAGCCUGCCUGACGGUGAGACUGACAAGUCGAGCCGCCACGAAAGUGGGCCAAAGUGAUCCGGUAGACCGCCGUGGGGCGGCUAUCGCGCAACGGAUAAAAGGUACGCUGGGGAUAACAGGCUUAUCGCAUCCGAGAGUUCACAUCGACGAUGCGGUUUGGCACCUCGAUGUCGGCUUGUCACAUCCUGGGGCUGGAGAAGGUCCCAAGGGUCCGGCUGUUCGCCGGUUAAAGUGGCACAUGAGCUGGGUUCAAAACGUCGUGAGACAGUUUGGUCUGUAUCCGUCGUGGGCGCUGGAGAAUUGAGGGGAGCGGACUUUAGUACGAGAGGACCGAGUCGGACGACCCGCUCGUGUCCCGGCUGUGGCGCCAGCUGCAACGCCGGGUAGCGAUGGUUGGACGGGAUAACCGCUGAAAGCAUCUAAGUGGGAAACCCACCCCAAGAUGAAUUCU
rnacentral:rRNA from 1 species